UCUCCGUUGGUGAACCAGCGGAGGGAUCAUUACCGAGUUUACAACUCCCAAACCCCCGUGAACAUACCAUUUGUUGCCUCGGCGGUGCCUGCUUCGGCAGCCCGCCAGAGGACCCAAACCCUUGAUUUUAUACAGUAUCUUCUGAGUAAAUGAUUAAAUAAAUCAAAACUUUCAACAACGGAUCUCUUGGUUCUG
rnacentral:misc_RNA from 1 species